CCUCUUCAGGACUUCAAUUUCGGGUGUUUUCGUGACUUCGGGUCUUUUCGCUGCUUUGGGACUUCGGCUUUUCAGCACUUCUACAUUUCGGCUGUUCGUGACUUCAGAAGGAGGCGGCACGGCUUCGGCGCUGUAAAGGGGGUCCCGGCUCUUUUGAAAAAUGAAGGAGUAUGACAGAAGGCGACCACUCCAGCACCAACGGGAGGAAAGGAAAAAAGAAUGAGAUCCUGAUAACCCGGCACAGCUCUCUCCAGAGCCAAUAUGAAGGGGGCGUGGGAGCUCCCACCAGCAACAGGUCACCUGCUCCCCAUACAAUGAUGUCAAUAACUGGAGGAUUGAGAAGGACGGUAAAGUGAAAGUGGGACUGUAUUUCAUUCCUUGCAGCUCAGAGUUUAACUCCAGAAGGAGAAUCUGAUUAAAUUUCCACAAGCUGGAAGUGUUUGGAGAGAAAGCUUUCAACAGUUACCACCAAAGCCUGGUGUGGAACAUGGAGGAGCACAGAGGGGAGUCAGUACCACUUAUCUUUUCCCACCUCUCCACCAGACUCAGAUUCAGCUCUUGGACAACCCAGUGAUAUGAUAUUCUGCCAACCUCAGUGCCCUGACUUACUCUUCUUUACUAAUUUUCUACCUACUGCACCAGCGGAGAAGGAUCUACUACAUCCCACAAGGUCUGAUCAGAGGGAUUAUGGGAGAUUAUACCCAAGUAAUAUGUUGGCAUGUAUGUAUGGAAGCAACUACCUGCCCACCAAAAUUAUGCUGCUGCUGCCAUGUGGGUGAGACCUUAAUUCUGCUUGUUUGUCUGCACGUGUGAGAGAGAGAGUGUGAGUGAGUGAGCAUUACAGUGCAGUAAGUGUGCACAUGGCUACCUGUGGCUGUUGCACCGAGUUAACCCACCAGAUGCCACUGUUGGGCUGAAUGCAGUGUAAUGUCCUUUAUUCUGAUUUCCCAGUGCCUCCCACCUGGACUUUACUUCCUUCUGGGAGUUGUUGUUCAGCAAGAGGCAGAGGGGUCUC